CCUACGGGAGGCUGCAGUGAGGAAUAUUGGUCAAUGGGCGCAAGCCUGAACCAGCCAAGUCGCGUGAAGGAUGAAUGCCCUACGGUUUUUAACCUUCUUUUAUAAAGGAAUAAAGUGAGGCACGUGUGCCUUUUUGUAUGUACUUUAUGAAUAAGGAUCGGCUACCUCCGUGCCAGCAGCCGCGGUAAUACGGAGGAUCCGAGCGUUAUCAGGAUUGAUUGGGUUUAAAGGGAGCGUAGAUGGGUGGUGAAGUCAGUUGUGAAAGUUUGCGGCUCAACCGUAAAAUUGCAAUUGAUACUGGCAGGCUUGAGGACAGUUGAGGUAGGGGGAAGUCGUGGGGUAGCGGUGAAA
rnacentral:rRNA from 1 species